GUCUAUGGUGGCUGUACGUGGGGCACUUCGGUGCGCCGGUUUCCUAUUUUCCCGGUCUGUCAACCCGCGUACAGCUGCCACCUUU
rnacentral:antisense_RNA from 1 species